AAAUUGAAGAGUUUGAUCAUGGCUCAGAUUGAACGCUGGCGGCAGGCCUAACACAUGCAAGUCGAACGGUAACAGGAAGAAGCUUGCUUCUUUGCUGACGAGUGGCGGACGGGUGAGUAAUGUCUGGGAAACUGCCUGAUGGAGGGGGAUAACUACUGGAAACGGUAGCUAAUACCGCAUAAUGUCGCAAGACCAAAGAGGGGGACCUUCGGGCCUCUUGCCAUCGGAUGUGCCCAGAUGGGAUUAGCUAGUAGGUGGGGUAAAGGCUCACCUAGGCGACGAUCCCUAGCUGGUCUGAGAGGAUGACCAGCCACACUGGAACUGAGACACGGUCCAGACUCCUACGGGAGGCAGCAGUGGGGAAUAUUGCACAAUGGGCGCAAGCCUGAUGCAGCCAUGCCGCGUGUAUGAAGAAGGCCUUCGGGUUGUAAAGUACUUUCAGCGG
rnacentral:rRNA from 1 species